rnacentral:lncRNA from 1 species
AUUCUUCUUCCUUCCUCAGGAACUGUAGGGGAAUUUCCCCUAGUUAUUUGAUUGGCUGAUGAAGAGGACAGGAAGCCAAUCACCAGGCGAAGAUAUGGAGGCGGGGUCUUCUGGGCAGAACAGGAAGGGAAGGGGAGAAGAGAAGGGUCAGACAAGAUGGAGGAGAAUGUAUUACAACAGUGCCUCUAUAUUCCCAAGCAUCUUCCCACACCUUCAUGGAGGAACACACUGAGAUUUCUGACAAGCCACCGGAGUUCAAUCUGUCUGACAUGGUCGGAGGAACUCAGCUACCAACAUGGUCAUAUCAGAAAGGAGAGAUUUAACCAGAGGGAUGUAGCAAGGUGCUCUGUGUCCAGAGGUCCUUUCAUUGUCAUGAGUUUGUUAAAGCAUGAUAUAAGCCUACAGUGAUGGUCCAAGAUCUGCCAAUGGAUACCAGGAGCAUAUGUGUGGGAUGUUGAAGGAGAUGGCCACAAUGGCGUAGUGCAUUGCUAAGAGAAUCAAGACUAUGACACACAUUUCCUGCUGCUUCAUCUGCAAGAUUCGAUGCUAGGCAAUCAGACACAGCUGAAAAUGGACAACACUCCCUUGAUUCCCCGUGUGUAUAUGACUUGUACUCAUAAUGUGUUUAGUCAUCCCUGGCUCAUCAUUUAACAGUCAAAAGCCACAUCAUACAAGGUUCAUGCAUAUGUUUUCCACUACACCUUUUCUUAUGCUUAGUAAAAGCCAACUUAUAAGUGG